GCGGCGGUAGCUCAGUGGUGGAGCCCCCGCUUCGCGUUGGGGGGGAGACACGGGUUCAAUUCCCGGCUGCUUCC
rnacentral:tRNA from 1 species